UGAACCAUUCUCAAGUUGCUCCUUAUCACCAUUUCCUUGCAAGUUUACACUUUCUCCCCAACUUGGUGUUUCCAUCUCAAUGCACUCAUCAUAAACCUCAUCAUCUU